CUACCAUCUGCCGUACGGGAGAAAACACAGGACAACAGGAAAUACGGCGGCCAUCUUGGAGCGGUCGUCCCUUCUUUGCUAAACCAAGACAGCAGAAGAUAUUAGCUGUAAUAAUUGUAAUUUUAAAAGGUCAGACAUUGCAGCAGACAGAGGAAGAAAUCAUCUUUCAACAUAACCCAAAAUGUUCACAUAUUCUACUUCUGGUGGAGCACUUUGCAACAAAAGUUGAUUUAUUUUACACAUAUGCAAGAUCAAACAUUUUUAAGAUGUUAACCCAUGGCUUUGUGAGAUCCCUCGACAUUGUACGACUAAUGUACAAUUUCAUCAAGUUAAUAUUUAUUAUUCCAACGGGUACGUUAGUAAGGUGUGUGGUAAAGUGGUCCAAUAGCUCUCAGAAAUGAGCAAUUGAGAAAAAAAUAUUUUUUUAAACCCUUUAUUGUGAAGUAUUCGCAACAAAUGUAUUAGAAAUGUUUUGAAUAAGCAAAAAUACUUAUAUGCAGACAGAAAGCAUUAAAAUUUUAAAAGCACA